CGGGAAUCUUGGGCAAUGGGCGAAAGCCUGACCCAGCAACGCCGCGUGAGGGAUGAAGGCCUUCGGGUCGUAAACCUCUGUCGGGAGGGAAGAAGUGGUCGUCGGCCAAUACCCGGCGGCCUUGACGGUACCU
rnacentral:rRNA from 1 species